UGAGGGUUGGCGUUUGGCCCCCGGGAGCAGGCGCUGCGCUCCCCCUGCCCUCCCCGUGGCUCGGGGCUCAGCGCCCGGGGUGCCUGCCGGCCGCCCUGCCGGGCAGGGCGCUCGCCUCACCCCCCCACAGGCACACCCCCGCCGCGGCUUUUCGUCCGGCGGAGACACUGCUUAUCGAACGGGGUGCAGGAAGAGGGGGAAGUUGGAUUUUGCAGAGCUUUGCUAGGCGGUGAGGGGCUUAAUGCAGAACUAUUAACCCUCCCAGAAAACCAGAUCUGGAGUUUUUAUUUAGGAAAAAAAAAAAAAAGGCUAGAAUGGUUAAAAAGUAGUUGUUUGGGGUUGCUCAGGCAGACCUGUUACUGCUCAAUUGUAUGCAAGAAAUGAAAAUUGUGCAGAAUAGCAUUUUCGAGAUUCGCCUAUUAAAGCAUGAUAUUCUGUGAAGUCCUGCUUUUAUAUUUGUAGCCUGAGUAAGGAAGUGACAUGGAAGACAACAGCGAUGAUCGGUGACGAUUAAGAGAACACUUGUUGGUUGUAGAGGCUGUAGGCAACUUUGCAGAGUUCCUUUCCAGCAGAGAUCCAGCUAAGCAGCUGCACCUUUUCUGCUAUUUACCUGUGUCAUGACACCUUUGUGUGCUGUUUCUGGUGUUUGGCAGACUACCCUUGGCAAAUGCUCCUGCGGUGUCUCAGUCACACCAACCCAUGGAUUACUUGUUGUCCAAUUUGUUGAUUAACACCUGGGAGAGAUCCGAGCUAUUUCAGCAGAAAUUUUAUAAGCCUUCUUCAACUUGGACUUACACUCCAUUAUGAAGACUACAUAGUGAAUAAUGGUAUUUGCAAACCACUGGACUUGAUUUCUUUAUGUGUGUCUUCUUUUACACUUUUUAUAAUCAAGAAUUCAUGAGAAGAACUGAGCAAAGAACUGCACCACAAAGACAUAAACACUGUUGGAAAAGUUCUUGUUCAAAGAGUUCUGGAUGGGUUGUUCUUAGACUAUGUGCAUGUGAGUCAUCCAAACAGCAUGUAAAGACUACUGCAAAAGAGUG